AACGCUGGCGGUAGGCCUAACACAUGCAAGUCGAACGGCAGCACAGGAGAGCUUGCUCUCUAGGUGGCGAGUGGCGGACGGGUGAGGAAUACAUCGGAAUCUGCCCAGUCGUGGGGGAUAACGUAGGGAAACUUACGCUAAUACCGCAUACGACCUUCGGGUGAAAGAGGGGGAUCGCAAGACCUCUCGCGAUUGGAUGAGCCGAUGUCGGAUUAGCUAGUUAGCGGGGUAAUGGCCCACCAAGGCGACGAUCCGUAGCUGGUCUGAGAGGAUGAUCAGCCACACUGGAACUGAGACACGGUCCAGACUCCUACGGGAGGCAGCAGUGGGGAAUAUUGGACAAUGGGCGCAAGCCUGAUCCAGCCAUACCGCGUGGGUGAAGAAGGCCUUCGGGUUGUAAAGCCCUUUUGUUGGGAAAGAAAUCUUUCAGGCUAAUACCCUGGGAGGAUGACGGUACCCAAAGAAUAAGCACCGGCUAACUUCGUG
rnacentral:rRNA from 1 species